CCUACGGGAGGCAGCAGUAGGGAAUCUUGCGCAAUGGGCGAAAGCCUGACGCAGCCAUGCCGCGUGAAUGAUGAAGGUCUUAGGAUUGUAAAAUUCUUUCACCGGGGAAGAUAAUGACGGUACCCGGAGAAGAAGCCCCGGCUAACUUCGUGCCAGCAGCCGCGGUAAUACGAAGGGGGCUAGCGUUGCUCGGAAUUACUGGGCGUAAAGGGCGCGUAGGCGGAUAGUUUAGUCAGAGGUGAAAGCCCAGGGCUCAACCUUGGAAUUGCCUUUGAUACUGGCUAUCUUGAGUUCGGGAGAGGUGAGUGGAAUGCCGAGUGUAGAGGUGAAAUUCGUAGAUAUUCGGCGGAACACCAGUGGCGAAGGCGACUCACUGGCCCGAUACUGACGCUGAGGCGCGAAAGCGUGGGGAGCAAACAGGAUUAGAUACCCUGGUAGUCCACGCUGUAAACGAUGAGUGCUAGUUGUCGGCAUGCAUGCAUGUCGGUGACGCAGCUAACGCAUUAAGCACUCCGCCUGGGGAGUACGGUCGCAAGAUUAAAACUUAAAGGAAUUGACGG
rnacentral:rRNA from 1 species